UGCAAGUCGAGCGGACAGAAGGGAGCUUGCUCCCGGAUGUAGCGGCGGACGGGUGAGUAACACGUGGGUAACCUGCCUGUAAGACUGGGAUAACUCCGGGAAACCGGAGCUAAUACCGGAUAGUUCCUUGAACCGCAUGGUUCAAGGAUGAAAGACGGUUUCGGCUGUCACUUACAGAUGGACCCGCGGCGCAUAGCUAGUUGGUGAGGUAACGGCUCACCAAGGCGACGAUGCGUAGCCGACCUGAGAGGGUGAUCGGCCACACUGGGACUGAGACACGGCCCAGACUCCUACGGGAGGCAGCAGUAGGGAAUCUUCCGCAAUGGACGAAAGUCUGACGGAGCAACGCCGCGUGAGUGAUGAAGGUUUUCGGAUCGUAAAGCUCUGUUGUUAGGGAAGAACAAGUGCAAGAGUAACUGCUUGCACCUUGACGGUACCUAACCAGAAAGCCACGGCUAACUACGUGCCAGCAGCCGCGGUAAUACGUAGGUGGCAAGCGUUGUCCGGAAUUAUUGGGCGUAAAGGGCUCGCAGGCGGUUUCUUAAGUCUGAUGUGAAAGCCCCCGGCUCAACCGGGGAGGGUCAUUGGAAACUGGGAAACUUGAGUGCAGAAGAGGAGAGUGGAAUUCCACGUGUAGCGGUGAAAUGCGUAGAGAUGUGGAGGAACACCAGUGGCGAAGGCGACUCUCUGGUCUGUAACUGACGCUGAGGAGCGAAAGCGUGGGGAGCGAACAGGAUUAGAUACCCUGGUAGUCCACGCCGUAAACGAUGAGUGCUAAGUGUUAGGGGGUUUCCGCCCCUUAGUGCUGCAGCUAACGCAUUAAGCACUCCGCCUGGGGAGUACGGUCGCAAGACUGAAACUCAAAGGAAUUGACGGGGGCCCGCACAAGCGGUGGAGCAUGUGGUUUAAUUCGAAGCAACGCGAAGAACCUUACCAGGUCUUGACAUCCUCUGACAACCCUAGAGAUAGGGCUUUCCCUUCGGGGACAGAGU
rnacentral:rRNA from 1 species